CAACACACAAGACCUCAAAGACAACCUUAAACCGGUCAAAGUUAGAACUCGAAAUUGAAAAAAUAAGGAGAAAGAGUGCAUUUUAUAUAUGUGUGUGUGUGUGUGUGUGAUGACAAAGAAAAAAUAUAUGUUAUGGCUACUGUAUGAUUAAACCGAAACAAUCUCGAAUCUCUCUCAUUCUCCCUUUUCUGAUCGACGCAGCACCACCCUCACACCUAGAGACACUCGACGACGUCAGAGCAGCAGCACCACCCUCCCGGACUUUCUCUCCCUCUCCCUUCGUCUCUGUGGAACCCCAGGACACCCAAAACCCAAGUCCGGCGAACCAUGGGUGUGCGAGCCCAAAUCCAGCCACCUCCGGUCUUCUCUCGGCGAAACAAAGGUGCAAUUAAUAGCGGCGAUUCCGUCAUUUCUAUUUGGUACAACUCUACGACGAUGGAGUAUCUCCAAGGUUCGUUCAAAUCCAUCCAUUAAGGUAAAUGAUGUUAUGAGAGAAAUGAAGGAGAAUUAUGGUCUUGAUGUUAAAUACCAUGCAACUUUGUGUGGCAAAGAUAUUGCAUAUAAUUAAGGUAAUGGUGACGAGGCUCUCUCAUUUGGAUUUU